UGCCAGCAGCCGCGGUAAUACGGAGGGUCCAAGCAUUAAUCGGAAUUACUGGGCGUAAAGGGUGCGUAGGCGGCCUGUUAAGUCGGAUGUGAAAGCCCUGGGCUCAACCUGGGAAUUGCAUUCGAUACUGGCAGGCUAGAAUCUGAUAGAGGGUAGUGGAAUUCCCGGUGUAGCGGUGAAAUGCGUAGAGAUCGGGAGGAACAUCAGUGGCGAAGGCGACUACCUGGAUCAAGAUUGACGCUCAGGCACGAAAGCGUGGGGAGCAAACAGGAUUAGAUA
rnacentral:rRNA from 1 species